CCUGGGGCAUACCCUUCAGUCUGGAUGUGUAUUUUCAUCUGUUGGUAUCAAUCUAUACAGUAAAUACCAUUCAGAUUGCAGGGUGGUCCUUCC
rnacentral:pre_miRNA from 1 species